rnacentral:rRNA from 1 species
AAUCAACGCUGGCGGCGUGCCUCAGACAUGCAAGUCGAACGCGAAAGUUUCCUUCGGGAGACAAGUAGAGUGGCGCACGGGUGAGUAACACGUAGGUAAUCUACCUUUGGAUGGGGAAUAACAACCGGAAACGGUUGCUAAUACCGCAUAAUGCAGCGGCACCUAAUGGUGACAGUUGUUAAAGCGGGGGAUCGAAAGACCUCGCGUCUGAAGAGGAGCCUGCGGCGGAUUAGCAGUUGGUAAGGUAAUGGCUUACCAAGGCUACGAUCCGUAACCGGCCUGAGAGGGCGGUCGGUCACACUGACACUGACA